rnacentral:rRNA from 1 species
UACGUAUGGGGCGAGCGUUGUCCGGAAUUAUUGGGCGUAAAGAGUACGUAGGCGGUUUUGUGGGUUCAAAUUAAAAGGCAUAGGCUCAACCAAUGGUCGGUGUGGAAACUAUAAAACUUGAGUAGAUGAGAGGCGAGUGGAAUUCCUAGUGUAGCGGUGAAAUGCUGAGAUAUUAGGAGGAAUACCAGUGGCGAAGGCGACUUUCUGGAAUGUAACUGACGCUGAGGUACGAAAGCGUGGGGAGCAAACAGG